AUGCUGGGGACCCUCUGCUCUCUCAUCACAGCUCUAACAUGUGUCAGUGGAGUGACUGUGGUGACACAGAAGCCUUCAGUUCUGACGGUGAGUAAAGGAGAGACAGCCACCAUGGACUGUAACCUGGGGACUGUUACUGGCGCUGUUCAGUGGUACAGGCAGAUCCCAGGAGGAGUUCCUCUAUAUAUACUGAGGAUUCAUCAUAGCUUUAGUUCACCAAGCUAUGGGACUGGGUUCUCUUCUACAAGACACACUUCCACUCAUCAGUCAACAACAGAUUAUCGUUUGAUCAUAAACAACAUAGAAGAAGGAGACUCUGCAGUUUAUUACUGUAAAACAUGGGACAGCUCUGUUAAUGAGUACGUAUCACAGUGAUUUACGCUGUGACAAAAACCUCGACACAAACACUUCUGCUUUUUCAGUGAUAGUUCUCAGAGGACUUGGCUUAUAU